rnacentral:rRNA from 1 species
CCCUUAGAUGUUCUCGGCCGCACACGCGCUACACUGAAAGAGGCAACGUGUUUGCCUGAUUCGAAAGAAUUGGGUAACCCCCUAAUCUCUUUCGUGCUAGGGAUUGAGGUUUGCAAUUAUCCUUCAUGAACGAGGAAUUCCCAGUAAGUGCAAGUCAUAAGCUUGCGCUGACUACGUCCCUGCCCUUUGUACACACCGCCCGUCGCUACUACCGAUUGAAUGAUUUAGUGAGGACUUCGGACUGGGACCGAUGCGGCUUUCGGGCUGCGUCGGUAUUCUGGAAAGAUGUCCAAACUGUAUCAUUUAGAGGAAGUAAAANUCGUANCA